rnacentral:misc_RNA from 1 species
GAUGAAGAACGUAGCGAAAUGCGAUAAGUAAUGUGAAUUGCAGAAUUCAGUGAAUCAUCGAAUCUUUGAACGCACCUUGCACCCUUUGGCAUUCCGAAGGGUAUGCUCGUUUGAGUGUCAUUGUACUCUCACACUCUCCGAUCCUAUGGAUUCGGGGAGCGGUGGACUUGGGUGUUGCUGCCUUUCCUUGUGGCUCACCUCAAAUGCGUCAGUGCACCUCUUGGUUGGACAUAGUACGGCGUGAUAAGUGUCUUCGCCGGCACCUCGCAAGAGGGUGGCCGAUCGGGAGCUCUGCGCUUUCAAACCGUCUUCGGACAAUCCCUGACAACUUGACCUCAAAUCGAGUAGGACUACCCGCUGAACUUAAGCAUAUCAAUAAGCGGAGGA